rnacentral:lncRNA from 10 species
AGCAGAGAAGAGAAGAACUUGGGCUUCCGAGGGAGACUGACCAGAACAAGCUGCAGUGAGGACCUGAUAGUCAAAAUUACUUGGAGGAAAAUCACAGCUCUUCUCCCCUAGAAAGUCUGCUGAGUCUCACCAGGAGAAUCUCACAGGGAGGCUGCCACGAAUUCUCUCUGCAAGGACUGUGAAACUCAGGGUCCUGGAACCUGGGGAGAUCGAGGGACAACUGUACAUCAGCCUGCUGAGAAAUGUUUUGCAGGAUUCAUGAUUGGGAUCUUCGUACUAAGCCUUUCUUGAGGGAGUGUCUCAGACUCAACCAGCCUCAAUUUUCCCAUGAAUCCUUCUUCAUUGCCUUCCUAGAUUGCUACUCCGCAUCUCAGCUGACCCCAUACAAACAAACUCCAAUAGUGUCUCCAAUCGCGUGCUGUGUUAAAUUUUAACUUUAUAACCAACCAUCAUUUGCUACUUCCAUCUAACCAAGCCAGUUUCCUUAUGAUGCACACACUUGUGUUUAGCUCACAAUUUGUUCUACAUGCUUGCUUAUUUAUUCAUUCAGCAAGUAUUUAUUGAGCCCCAACUGUGCACUAGCUGCUGUCUCA